rnacentral:rRNA from 1 species
UACGGAGGGUGCAAGCGUUGUCCGGAAUCACUGGGCGUAAAGGGCGCGUAGGCGGCUCAGGAAGGCUGUGGUGAAAGUCCGGGGCUCAACCUCGGAUCGGCCGUGGCGACUCGUGGGCUGGAGCACUGUAGAGGCGGGUGGAAUUCCGGGUGUAGCGGUGGAAUGCGUAGAGAUCCGGAAGAACACCAGUGGCGAAGGCGGCCCGCUGGGCAGUGGCUGACGCUGAGGCGCGACAGCGUGGGGAGCAAACAGG